rnacentral:rRNA from 1 species
CACGGAGGGAGCGAGCGUUGUUCGGAUUUAUUGGGCGUAAAGGGCGUUUAGGCGGUAUGGCAAGUUGGAUGUGAAAGCCCUCGGCUUAACCGAGGAAUUGCAUCCGAAACUGCCAGACUUGAGUAUGGUAGAAGUGAGCGGAAUUCUCAGUGUAGCGGUGGAAUGCGUAGAUAUUGAGAAGAACACCAGUGGCGAAGGCGGCUCACUAGACCAAUACUGACGCUGAAGCGCGAAAGCCAGGGGAGCGAACGGGAUUAGAUACCCCCGUA